AAUAGAUACCCAGGUAGUCCACGCUGUAAACGUUGGGCGCUAGGUGUGGGGGGACAUUCACGUCUUCCGUGCCGUAGCUAACGCAUUAAGCGCCCCGCCUGGGGAGUACGGCCGCAAGGCUAAAACUCAAAGGAAUUGACGGGGGGCCCGCACAAGCGGCGGAGCAUGUGGAUUAAUUCGAUGCAACGCGAAGAACCUUACCUGGGUUUGACAUGCACCAGACAUCCCUAGAGAUAGGGCUUCCCUUGUGGUUGGUGUGCAGGUGGUGCAUGGCUGUCGUCAGCUCGUGUCGUGAGAUGUUGGGUUAAGUCCCGCAACGAGCGCAACCCUCGUUCCAUGUUGCCAGCGCGUAAUGGCGGGGACUCAUGGGAGACUGCCGGGGUCAACUCGGAGGAAGGUGGGGAUGACGUCAAGUCAUCAUGCCCCUUAUGUCCAGGGCUUCACACAUGCUACAAUGGCCGGUACAGAGGGUUGCGAGACCGUGAGGUGGAGCGAAUCCCUUAAAGCCGGUCUCAGUUCGGAUCGGGGUCUG
rnacentral:rRNA from 1 species